rnacentral:rRNA from 1 species
AUUGAACGCUGGCGGCAGGCCUAACACAUGCAAGUCGAACGGUAACAGGAAACAGCUUGCUGUUUCGCUGACGAGUGGCGGACGGGUGAGUAAUGUCUGGGAAACUGCCUGAUGGAGGGGGAUAACUACUGGAAACGGUAGCUAAUACCGCAUAACGUCGCAAGACCAAAGAGGGGGACCUUCGGGCCUCUUGCCAUCGGAUGUGCCCAGAUGGGAUUAGCUAGUAGGUGGGGUAACGGCUCACCUAGGCGACGAUCCCUAGCUGGUCUGAGAGGAUGACCAGCCACACUGGAACUGAGACACGGUCCAGACUCCUACGGGAGGCAGCAGUGGGGAAUAUUGCACAAUGGGCGCAAGCCUGAUGCGGCCAUGCCGCGUGUAUGAAGAAGGCCUUCGGGUUGUAAAGUACUUUCAGCGGGGAGGAAGGGAGUAAAGUUAAUACCUUUGCUCAUUGACGUUACCCGCAGAAGAAGCACCGGCUAACUCCGUG